UACAGAGGUCCCAAGCGUUGUUCGGAAUUACUGGGCAUAAAGGGUGCGUAGGUGGUUUGUUAAGUCAGGGGUGAAAUCCCGCGGCCCAACCGUGGAACUGCCUUUGAUACUGGCGAACUUGAGUGCGUGAGGGGUAGGGGGAACGAGCAGUGUAGCGGUGAAAUGCGUAGAUAUUGCUCGGAAGGCCAGAGCCGAAGGGGCCCUACUGGUGCGUAACUGACACUGAGGCACGAAGGCCAGGGGAGCAAACGGG
rnacentral:rRNA from 1 species